rnacentral:rRNA from 1 species
CGAGUUGUAAUUUGUAGAAGAUGCUUUGGGUGUAGCUCCGGUCUAAGUUCCUUGGAACAGGACGUCAUAGAGGGUGAGAAUCCCGUAUGUGACUGGGUGCUUUCGCUCGUGUAAAGCUCUUUCGACGAGUCGAGUUGUUUGGGAAUGCAGCUCAAAAUGGGUGGUAAAUUUCAUCUAAAGCUAAAUAUUGGCCAGAGACCGAUAGCGCACAAGUAGAGUGAUCGAAAGAUGAAAAGCACUUUGGAAAGAGAGUUAAACAGUACGUGAAAUUGUUGAAAGGGAAGCGCUUGCAACCAGACUUGCGCGCUGUUGAUCAUCCGAGCUUCUGCCCGGUGCACUCGACAGCGUUCAGGCCAGCAUCGGUUUUGGUGGGCGGAUAAAGGCCUUGGGAAUGUAGCUUCUUUCGGGAAGUGUUAUAGCCCUCG